rnacentral:rRNA from 1 species
UACGUAGGGGGCUAGCGUUGUCCGGAAUCAUUGGGCGUAAAGCGCACGUAGGCGGCUUCUUAAGUCAGGGGUGAAAUCCUGGAGCUCAACUCCAGAACUGCCUUUGAUACUGAGGAGCUCGAGUCCGGGAGAGGUGAGUGGAACUCCGAGUGUAGAGGUGAAAUUCGUAGAUAUCAGGAAGAACACCAAUGGCGAAAGCAGCUCUCUGGGACGGUACUGACGCUGAGACGCGAAAGCGUGGGGAGCGAACGAGGA